GAGCAUAUAGCUCAGUGGUAGAGCAUGUGAUUAACAUGCAUGAGGUCCUGGGUUCAAUCCCCAGUGCCUCCA
rnacentral:tRNA from 1 species